GCCAUCAGGCACGGCGGCGGGGGCACCGCCGCACGGCCAUCGAUCUGGCAGCACCGGAACGGAACUGCUCUACUGCAGUGAUGUGCGGCCCACAAUCUCUUGUACAGCUCGCGUUUGGAGGCGGAGGCAAGGGGGAGGAGGCGCUCGCGGACAAGUCGAGGAACGGCCCACGGCGCGAGCGGCGGCCGGCGGCGAGACUAAGGUAUGUCAUGUGCCAUUUCUGCUCAGGUCCUCAGGCUCCAACUUGUGUGCCAUUGCAUGUAGUGUGUGUUAGUCAGACAAACUCCGCAGAUGCUCGGAUGAUUUGGUAGAACAAACAAGUACUUAAAUCUGAAUCCACAUCCUUGCAAGAGAGAAUGGGGAAGAAAAGGCCCAGUCCUUAGGCGGCAGUGUGUAAGCACUAAGCAGACCACUUGCCUUAGGAUUGCCGUGGACUUGAUGUACGCGCACUAAUUAAUGGGCCACCGAGUUCUCAAAUGGAAGGGGAUGCUUCAUGCUUGAACACUAUUACCGGUAGGAACGAGCAAUAUUAACACUAUUACCCGUAGAAACGAGCAAUAUUAAAAUCUGAAAAUGACACAAUUACUAAAUUCCAGUUUACGGACGAUCAAUUGCAACGCAGUUAAGCAACUUACCAAACAUUAUCUAAGAGGAUCCAACAAUAAACACACUUGGCGUCUCCCUUUCACCGUCCAGAAAAGAGGCUCGUUUGUGAAAUCCCAUUGGUAUAGCCAGACUGGAAGGAUCUCCCCUCGUUUCUUGCUCUUGAAAUCAUCAGCCGGAACUGCCUUGGAAUUUCAGUAUCCAUGGAGUCCGUCCGUCGAGGGGUCCCAGAAAUAGCUGGCAACCACACUUUGAGCCUUGAAGCAACCUUGGUCAUGGUCGGCCUGUUGACGGCUGCGCUUUCGAGGCAGUUCAUGGCAAGGUCCACUACACUCUCCAGGGAACUGGCAUCGUACAGAUCCAGCAGUUUCUUGUCUACAACAUCGUGGAUGCUGCCGUUAGCUCUCUUUUGCCGCACCCAAUUUGGUAGGUGGACAGCUUGAGGGUCCAUAACUACCGGGGAUUGGCCCGUGAUGAUCUCCAAUAGCACGAUACCGAAGCUGUAAACAUCUGUUUUGGUGGUGAUUUUGAAAGUUGCAUGGUACCCAGGGUCGAAGUAGCCAAGAGUGCCAGCAGCAGCAGUAGAUAUGUGUGUGUGAGCAUCAUUAAAAGCACGUGAAAGCCCAAAAUCAGAUAUUACCCCCACCAGAUUCUUGUCCAGAAGGAUGUUUGGGGUCUUCACAUCUCUGUGCACUAUUGAUGGGGUGCAUGACUCAUGUAGAUACUCCAGUCCUGCAGUUUAUUAGAACUCAUACUCUAUGAACACACACAUACGUACAUGGCCUAAAAGGUAAACAUGUAGUUGAAAUACAGACCUUGCGCAGCAUCAAGGGCAAUAUGAAGUCGCUGUUCCCAAGUCAAACUAUAGUCAUCUCCUGCAAUCAAGAUGUACCAAAUUAAUGUAAGGGCCAUCUGAUAUGUGAAUUGUAGCACAAAUACCGUGUUUUGCAAUAUUUGCUCAUAUUUUCCUAGAUCGAUGAUGGUUCCACACACAAAUGAUUAACCAUAGCAUCAAUUUUUACGAUAAAGAACCAUAGCAUCAAUUAGCGCGUUAAGAUCUAAGACCUGCAUAAACAGUCACUUUGAUCUUCGAGACCUCACUCCUUUUCAUUCUCUUUACCAGAGCAUUUUCAUAUACAAUUCCAGUUAACAGGGAACCUAGAUAUUGGAAUUAUUCUUUGAGUAUUUAUCUCUCUAGUUUCUUUGUUUCUUACCGCCGUUUGAAGGUGUACAAGUUUAUAAUUCGUGACUAUCAUGUUAUGGUUAUGACGUAGGUAAGAAUUUAUUUGUGGUAGCCCCAAUUUGUUAACCUAAUAUCUAUGACCAUGACAUGGUUAGGCCUUUAAGAAUAUGCAGCUCUAAGAAUGCAGCUCUAAGAAUGCAGCUAUGGUUGUCUCACGUAUUAGUCCAAUAUCCAUACAGAGUAAAUCAUGUCUACCAACACAACUGUAUUGACUAGCAGGAGCAAUAACGGUUUAGGCAAUCAAACUACACCUUUGCAAGAAAAAAUAGUUUUGAAACUCCUGAUUGCAGUACCAUGUCAAAGCCAGAAUACUUUGAUUUUAGAGUUUCUUUUUUAUACUUAUGACUAGGUCCUGUCAAAAUUUACUUUUUAUACUGUUAAGCACGAUAUAUUUGUAAAAUUUGAAAAGUAGGUGAUUCCGAAGUUCUUAAUCCAAGCUAUUGGCAUCUGGGUCUCGUGUAGUUAUUGGAUUCUCAAGAAGUAAAACCCUGAGCAGGUUUAGGUUUGAUUGAAUGAUUCAAUUUUACUGAAUUGAAGUACAAUACAUUAAAAAAAUAAGAGAGAAACCUCCUUUUAAAAGCUGUUUAAGAUUUCCUCUAGGCAUGAAGUCAUAAACGAGUGCAAGGCACUUCUUGUUCUGGCAAUAUCCUUGCAAAGUCACGAGAUUCUUGUGAUGAACUUUCGACAAGGUUUGCACCUGCGGUAAUAGAUAUAGUUACCAAACAUCCUAGAACUGGAGCCAGUUGUAUCAUUUUAUUCAAUAUGGACUGUCGAAUUGGUUUUAGGUGUUUUGCAGACCUAUAGUUUACUUUGGAUGACUUGUAACAAACGUUGGAGUAAUUGAGACUGUAAGCAUAUAUGAUGCAGAGGGCGGGGGUAAUAAAGCUUCCAAUUCCAAAAAAAAAGGUUUCUAUUUGAGAAAGUAAUGUUAUAGCCUAGUUGGUUUUGUGUAAUACCUCAGGGAGGAAGUCUGUUGAUUCUGAUAUUGAUGUCUCCUUAAGCACCUUAACAGCUACCUCAUCACCAUUUUCCAGUGUGCCAUGAUAAACGAUACCAAAACCUCCUUUUCCAAUGAUCGAUUGGAAGUCAUUAGUUAUGAACUUCAGCUCUGCAUACGUGAACCGUCUGAUAUCAAUAUGUAGGGGAGUCUCCUCUUCAUACAUAGCAUACUCUUUAUCGUUUCCCGACUUCCCUGCAGAGUCAAUAAGUUGUGCUUUAUUUGAAAGUUUAGGUCUGAAGCUGCUUUCUAAUGUCUACCACCUAUUGCAUUGAUGAAAAGGAAAUUUAGAGCAUAGAACUUUGCUUUACCUUUCCAGUAUAACUUCCAGAGUGUGCCCAUCACUACUAGGAGGGACACCAGUACCACAGGAACUAUCACUGCAAUGAGCAUGGCGGCUGUGGUGUUCUUCUUAUUUGAACAAUAUGUAUCUUUGACUUUUGAGCAUAUAGGAUUGCCUUCUAAUCUAGUGGCAUCAUUACACACCAUAUAGGAAAUAGGAACUUAUAAGAUGUUAGCUAUGACGGCUCUCCAGAAUUAUGAUUAGAAGAUGCCUCAGUUUUCUAACACGGGUAACGUGCUAAACAUGUAUGCACUCCGAAAGAACUAACUUGAUGCUUUCUCAUCUAUGUAUUCUAAAAGAAGAAACUUCAUGGUUUGUAAAUCAGAUGCAGUUACUAUGGUCUUUUUAUACCUCUCCUAUUGGUUGCCAUAGACAAUAAAGCGUUUAUAGUUACUAGAUGCUAGUACAUGUAACUGAGGGCAUGUUUGGAUCAAUGCAUAGCUCUGUGAAAGUGUGGCUUCACACACUUUAUGUCACCCAAAUUGGUUAUCACAACUUAGUCCUGUAUACGACGUUCAAUGUGUACAAAAUAUCCAUGCUACUGCGCCUGACAUAACAGCUCCUGGUGCAACAACAUGUACCAGCCUAACAUGGGGAGGCGGCGAGUUUGUAGCAGUAGGCGGCACAGGGGCUUUGUUACCCAAGUGGGGCUGCUGCGGCAUAAAGUUAGGUACUUGUGGCACACAACAAGUAUAAUACUCCCUCCAUUCCUAAAUAUAAGUCUUUUUAGAGAUUUCAAUAUGGACUAUUUACGGAGCAAAAUGAGUGUAGCUAUACUCUAAAAUAUGUCUAUAUACAUCCGUAUGUAGUUUGUAUUGAAAUCUCUAAAAGGACUGUAUUUAGAAACGGAGGGAGUACCAACCAAACUGUGGGCGGAGGAAGUCCAACUUGUGAAACUCUAGUUUGGUAACGUGUGGCAUAGUUGUUGUGCAAAGACUGUUGCUAACCCUCGAAUUUUUGCUAUCAGGCUCAACCCUGUUUCUUUUAGUUUGAGUAUCUACUCCCUCCGUCCGAAAAUACUUGUCAUCAAAAUGAAUAAAAGGGAAUGUAUCUAGACGUAUUUUAGUUUUAGAUACAUCCCUUUUUGUCCAUUUUGAUGACAAGUAUUUUCGGACGGAGGGAGUAUUAUUUUUAUGCAGUAAGAAAGUGCAACAUUCAGUCAAAACAAAAGGAUUGUGCAAUAGAGCAUGCAAACCUUAAGUCAAGCAGACCAGCCUGAUAUCUUUGAAGAAUAGAAUGAGGGAUUGGUCCAUCGAGCUGGUUAUAUGACAAAUCACUGUAGAAUAAUAGUUAAAACCAUUCUUUAAAAUUUAUAUCUUGAACCAAAUAUUAGUACAAUCAACAGAGAGACUUACAAAACUUUCAUUGACUUCAUUUCGUACUCUGGAAUACCUCCUGUCAAAUUGUUGUGUGACAAAUCCCUACAUGUUUUUUGUGCUUAGGAUCACAAAGAUGUCAACAUAAUCUCAUUUAGUCCAUUAAUAUUUUGUGGUAGGUCACUUACAGGGUUUCCAGUGAUACCAUGUUCAUGAAUGAUAUGGUUAAUCCACCUUUCAGUCUGCUGGUAGACAGAUUUCUGCAAAAGAAAAAUCAUUUAAAUACAGAUCUGUUAAUUCAGUGAUUGUUUGUCAGACUCUGUCGAAUAAUAUAGUAAAGAUGGCUGUGAGAGGCCGGGGGUUAUCCUCCUUUUCGGGAAAAAAAAUAUAACACAAUGCUCUUAAAAAAUUGAAAAUAUUGAAUUUUGAUGUUUAGCUUCCAAAAUGUAUAUGGUACAAGUCCCUGUUAGGUUCUUACACUGCGACGAUCCUCGGAUUCGGGUUGCUCUUAGAGUAGUCGCAAGUCAAACCUUCCCAAGAAUACUCUCUCGGUGAGCAUGGAUCACCAUUCCAGUUUAUUCGUGCCACACUGUAGUGCUUCUUGACUUCUUUCAUGUAUUUGACUACAACAGAAAAAAGAAAGACAAUGGAAACAGAUAGCAAUGGAAUCAAAAGGCUGUAUACGUUGGGUAUGGGAGCUUAUAUACUUUAAAAGAGACGAAAGCCGUGAAGGAAGAAGUCACGAAAGUAUUUCCUAUGCGAGCAUUAUCUUUUUGUAGAACUGAAUAAAUUGCAUUGAUUCAUUUCUCUAAUAUUGGAUUGGCCUGUAUAAGAUGGCCUAUUUAGCAGUUAAGAUGGAGUACUAAAUCAGUUGGUUAAUGAACUUGAUGUAUUUAUUACUUUGCUGGUGAAAAUCCUGACAAUGACAAAAUGGUUUUGGGGAUCUCAGGGGUCUAGACAGUCAAUAACAUUUUUAAAAGCAUUGAUGAUAAUGUGAAUAAACUGCUGGAGGUGUUCAAGCAGUUAAACCUACUGAAUAAACUGCAUGAUGAUAAUGUGAAUCUACCACAGGCACACACUUAGUAUAUGUAUACUUGGUGUCUUACCGUCGUUGGAGUCAGUGGUGAGGUUAUCCAUCCGGACGAGAGAGUACAGCUCGAACGCAUUGAUGAGCGGUGGGAGCACCGAGUUGUUGGUCUUGUUCAGGAGGAAGGAGGCUGCGGGGUUAUGCAAGAAGCGCCCAUUCUGGUGCAUGCUGUCCACCUGGGAUCGUGAAGGUGAGAAGUCUGGGAACAACAUUUCGUCGCCGCUGUAGAUGUUGAAUGACCUAUUUGGAUUGUUGUCAACGACCUCGGCAAAGUGGAAGAUCGGGAGAAGCUGCAGGUUCGUUGGGUCCAGGUUGGGACCCACUGCCACAUUGAUCUCGAAGAAGGAGUAGUUUGUGUCUAGGGUGCUGGCCUGCUGGAGGAUGCCCUCUGGUACCUGGAAGGUGUUGUCGCCGGGUAGCCUCCUCACUGGACUGCUAGUGUUUAGGGUCAUCCAGGGGUAGGUGUUGUAGGAGAAAGACCAGCCCUCCCAGAACCGGUCGUAAGGGUCCAAUGGAUAUCUUCAUCGCACAUAAAGACAAGGAGAAAACAGGUAAAUAGGUAGCCAAUAAACUGUCCUUUUUUUUUAAACUUGAAGGAAAUAGCUGUGACAACUCGCCAACCAAACUUCUUGUCACCUUGGGAUGACAUUAGUUUUUGUUAGAAGGAAUUGCAAGAUUCAGGAAACAGAUUAAGGAGCAAACACUUCAAAUUUUCCGUGCUAGCCAACUUCAAAACCAUUGUCAGGCAUAAUUAAGAUCAAAUCCAAAAUUAUUAUGGAUGCCAGUCUUGUCUUACCUUGUGAUGAAGUCAGUGGCUUGACCAAAUCUGAUCCGUCUAAAAUAGCUGAUUGACACCGAAGAAUUCACAAAAGGGUACAUCACAUCUUGCAGUGGCCUCAGCUCCAACGAAGACACGAAC
rnacentral:lncRNA from 1 species